rnacentral:rRNA from 1 species
ACUCUAAGCGGUGGAUCACUCGGCUCAUGGGUCGAUGAAGAACGCAGCAAACUGUGCGUCAUCGUGUGAACUGCAGGACACAUGAACAUCGACAUUUUGAACGCAUAUCGCAGUCCAUGCUGUUAUGUACUUUAAUUAAUUUUAUAGUGCUGCUUGGACUACAUAUGGUUGAGGGUUGUAAGACUAUGCUAAUUAAGUUGCUUAUAAAUUUUUAUAAGCAUAUGGUAUAUUAUUGGAUAAAUAUAAUAAUUUUUAUUCAUAAUAUUAAAAAAUAAAUGAAAAACAUUAUCUCACAUUUGAAUGUGAAAAACGAAGAGAAAUAUUUUCUUUUUCAAUCAAAUAAUACUGAGAAAUGUCUAGCAUAAAAAAUUGAAAUAUUUUUCAUCUAGAAUUGUCUCUUAUUAAUGAUUCGGAAAUAGAAAAAUCUUGGUUAUGUUAUUAUUCUUCGUUGGUUCGUUAAAAAUGGAUAAAUAAAAACUUUGCAUACAAGAAUUAAUAAAAAUGUUAUAACGAAUUUAAUUAAAUGUUUUAUCAUUAUAUAUAAAGAAUUUAUGGCAAGAUAAAGUUAUAUACAACCUCAACUCAUAUGGGACUACCCCCUGAAUUUAAGCAUAUUAAUUAGGGGAGGAAAAGAAACUAACAAGGAUUUUCUUAGUAGCGGCGAGCGAAAAGAAAACAGUUCAGCACUAAGUCACUUUGUCUAUAUGGCAAAUGUGAGAUGCAGUGUAUGGAGCGUCAAUAUUCUAGUAUGAGAAAUUAACGAUUUAAGUCCUUCUUAAAUGAGGCCAUUUACCCAUAGAGGGUGCCAGGCCCGUAUAACGUUAAUGAUUACUAGAUGAUGUUUCCAAAGAGUCGUGUUGCUUGAUAGUGCAGCACUAAGUGGGUGGUAAACUCCAUCUAAAACUAAAUAUAACCAUGAGACCGAUAGUAAACAAGUACCGUGAGGGAAAGUUGAAAAGAACUCUGAAUAGAGAGUUAAACAGUACGUGAAACUGCUUAGAGGUUAAGCCCGAUGAACCUGAAUAUCCGUUAUGGAAAAUUCAUCAUUAAAAUUGUAAUAUUUAAAUAAUAUUAUGAGAAUAGUGUGCAUUUUUUCCAUAUAAGGACAUUGUAAUCUAUUAGCAUAUACCAAAUUUAUCAUAAAAUAUAACUUAUAGUUUAUUCCAAUUAAAUUGCUUGCAUUUUAACACAGAAUAAAUGUUAUUAAUUUGAUAAAGUGCUGAUAGAUUUAUAUGAUUACAGUGCGUUAAUUUUUCGGAAUUAUAUAAUGGCAUAAUUAUCAUUGAUUUUUGUGUUUAUUAUAUGCACUUGUAUGAUUAACAAUGCGAAAGAUUCAGGAUACCUUCGGGACCCGUCUUGAAACACGGACCAAGGAGUCUAACAUAUGUGCAAGUUAUUGGGAUAUAAACCUAAUAGCGUAAUUAACUUGACUAAUAAUGGGAUUAGUUUUUUAGCUAUUUAUAGCUAAUUAACACAAUCCCGGGGCGUUCUAUAUAGUUAUGUAUAAUGUAUAUUUAUAUUAUUUAUGCCUCUAACUGGAACGUACCUUGAGCAUAUAUGCUGUGACCCGAAAGAUGGUGAACUAUACUUGAUCAGGUUGAAGUCAGGGGAAACCCUGAUGGAAGACCGAAACAGUUCUGACGUGCAAAUCGAUUGUCAGAAUUGAGUAUAGGGGCGAAAGACCAAUCGAACCAUCUAGUAGCUGGUUCCUUCCGAAGUUUCCCUCAGGAUAGCUGGUGCAUUUUAAUAUUAUAUAAAAUAAUCUUAUCUGGUAAAGCGAAUGAUUAGAGGCCUUAGGGUCGAAACGAUCUUAACCUAUUCUCAAACUUUAAAUGGGUAAGAACCUUAACUUUCUUGAUAUGAAGUUCAAGGUUAUGAUAUAAUGUGCCCAGUGGGCCACUUUUGGUAAGCAGAACUGGCGCUGUGGGAUGAACCAAACGUAAUGUUACGGUGCCCAAAUUAACAACUCAUGCAGAUACCAUGAAAGGCGUUGGUUGCUUAAAACAGCAGGACGGUGAUCAUGGAAGUCGAAAUCCGCUAAGGAGUGUGUAACAACUCACCUGCCGAAGCAACUAGCCCUUAAAAUGGAUGGCGCUUAAGUUGUAUACCUAUACAUUACCGCUAAAGUAGAUGAUUUAUAUUACUUGUGAUAUAAAUUUUGAAACUUUAGUGAGUAGGAAGGUACAAUGGUAUGCGUAGAAGUGUUUGGCGUAAGCCUGCAUGGAGCUGCCAUUGGUACAGAUCUUGGUGGUAGUAGCAAAUAAUCGAAUGAGACCUUGGAGGACUGAAGUGGAGAAGGGUUUCGUGUGAACAGUGGUUGAUCACGAGUUAGUCGGUCCUAAGUUCAAGGCGAAAGCCGAAAAUUUUCAAGUAAAACAAAAAUGCCUAACUAUAUAAACAAAGCGAAUUAUAAUACACUUGAAUAAUUUUGAACGAAAGGGAAUACGGUUCCAAUUCCGUAACCUGUUGAGUAUCCGUUUGUUAUUAAAUAUGGGCCUCGUGCUCAUCCUGGCAACAGGAACGACCAUAAAGAAGCCGUCGAGAGAUAUCGGAAGAGUUUUCUUUUCUGUUUUAUAGCCGUACUACCAUGGAAGUCUUUCGCAGAGAGAUAUGGUAGAUGGGCUAGAAGAGCAUGACAUAUACUGUUGUGUCGAUAUUUUCUCCUCGGACCUUGAAAAUUUAUGGUGGGGACACGCAAACUUCUCAACAGGCCGUACCAAUAUCCGCAGCUGGUCUCCAAGGUGAAGAGUCUCUAGUCGAUAGAAUAAUGUAGGUAAGGGAAGUCGGCAAAUUAGAUCCGUAACUUCGGGAUAAGGAUUGGCUCUGAAGAUUGAGAUAGUCGGGCUUGAUUGGGAAACAAUAACAUGGUUUAUGUGCUCGUUCUGGGUAAAUAGAGUUUCUAGCAUUUAUGUUAGUUACUUGUUCCCCGGAUAGUUUAGUUACGUAGCCAAUUGUGGAACUUUCUUGCUAAAAUUUUUAAGAAUACUAUUUGGGUUAAACCAAUUAGUUCUUAUUAAUUAUAACGAUUAUCAAUUAACAAUCAAUUCAGAACUGGCACGGACUUGGGGAAUCCGACUGUCUAAUUAAAACAAAGCAUUGUGAUGGCCCUAGCGGGUGUUGACACAAUGUGAUUUCUGCCCAGUGCUCUGAAUGUCAAAGUGAAGAAAUUCAAGUAAGCCGGUCAACGCGGAGUAAAUGACUCUCUUAAGUGUGCUAAGCAAGGGUCGAUAGCUAAGAAAUAAAGGAGAAAAUAGAGCAGAUAAGAGGGCAAUCAGCUCUCGCCCCGGAAGUUGCUAAUCUAACCAUAAGGCGCCGCCCUAGUAGAAGUGAGCAAGACCACCAAGUAACAACAUCGGAAACAACUCCAAUCACUCCCUUCGAACAGUCGAACAGGGAAAUUUUGCGGACACUACGCGGGUAUAGCCCCGUAGAAUGCCAUUCCAAAUGGAGAGCCCAAGAGUGCAAACUAUCAUUGAUAGGGCACAUCUCGAGGGAAAGGAAACCACUCUCCAAUGCUUAUCGCUAUAUCUCCUGGGAAUUUUUCCGGCACAGGGUGUACGACACACACUGACGAGACCUCCUCGGAGACCUCGGAACAGGAGAGAAAGCAGAAGGCAGCAGUACGCUGUCGUCCAGCGUAACUGGGAUAAGCAUAAAGGAAGAUGCAUCAAGUCCUUGCUAAAUGGAACUGAUGAGUCGGUAAUGCCAAGCCAAGAAAUAAUGGUUCCCUACUGGAGAGAAGUAAUGACUCAGCCUAGCCCAAGCUCUUGC